rnacentral:other from 1 species
GACAACCUGAGAUGUACGGAAAAGUAGCUUAUUAUAUUCAACCUACAUUAUGUUUACGGGAUUUGUAAUAUGUUUAUGGAUAUUGGACUUCAGAAAUUUAUAGUAGAUAAUUAUAGUAUUUAUUAUAGCGGAAGAUAAUAGAAGUAAAUUGAGCAGAACCCACCUGCGAGAAGCAGGUUAUGAAUAUAUAAGUGAACGGCAUGUUGGGAUGUAU